UGGGGAAUAUUGCACAAUGGAGGGAACUCUGAUGCAGCGACGCCGCGUGAGUGAUGAAGGACUUCGUUUCGUAAAACUCUGUUCUAUGGGAAGAAAAGGACUGUACCAUAGGAGAAAGCUCCGGCUAAAUACGUGCCAGCAGCCGCGGUAAUACGUAUGGAGCGAGCGUUGUCCGGAAUUAUUGGGCGUAAAGGGUGCGCAGGCGGCUUUACAAGUUGGAUGUGAAAUAUUGUGGCUCAACCACAAACGUGCAUCCAAAACUGCAAAGCUUGAGUUAAGGAGAGGUAAGUUGAAUUCCUGGUGUAGCUGUGAAAUGCGUAGAUAUCAGGAGGAAUACCGGUGGCGAAAGCGACUUACUAAAAUUAAACAGACGAUCAGGCACGAAAGCGUGGGGAGCAAACAGG
rnacentral:rRNA from 1 species